rnacentral:rRNA from 1 species
CGCGUCUGAACACACCCUGCGCACAUGACUCGUGUCCAGCAGCACCACGCACCGCUGCCUCCAUACGACCUUAUCUUCUUGCCUGGUCGUCUUUCCCGAUCCCCAUUCCAUCGUUCUUCCCCUUGCGCCGUCUGUGCCACCAUUUAUCUCUCAAUCGCCGCUCCUCCUUCAACAACACCAUGCCUAAUAGGCUCGCCUCUCUCGCGGCCCGGCCGCUGGAGCUCGCCAUGCUCUUCUGCGAGAGGGGGAGAUGACAGUGCUGGAAGGCGACAGCCACCAUGGUUGCGGGACGAUGGCAGUUUCCGGCGGCGGCGCUGCGGGAUGUUGCAAGGCGGCGACGGGCCACGGCGAGAGGCGUGCUAUGACAGCGUCGACAACCGCGGAGGUGCCGCGAGGCUGCGGUGAUGCUUCAAUUUCCGUGGCUACGCUCGGUGGUGAGCUGCGCUCCAAGGGGGGCCGCCGGUCCUACGACGACCUGCCGGUGGCUGCGCUGCUACGAGGCCGGCCUGGUGAUUUCCCAACUCUAUUUUCUUGAUUGCUCCGAUCUGCACCGACAAGCGGUCCUGCCGAGGUCGUCCGAUGUACGGCUAAUGUGAGGCCACUGGAGCUGCAGGACUGGCACGGGACGCACGGCUGCUGCCGGGACGACAACAAACGGGGCAGCGACGCCUGGGCCUCGGCCUUUUUUUUGGUUCCUUCCUCGCUGGUACCAGGAUACCAGCUGUGUCUUAGUGUCUCUCUUCUCCUGAGCUGGGCAUGUACGCAGAUGUUGUUGUUUUCUCUUUAAUUGCUCGUAUGUGAUCUUCCUCCGAGAUGUUUUUGUCUUUGCGGCAGGUCUUCCCACAUUCUUGUUUGA